ensembl:lncRNA
UCUCCAGCCAGGGCCCCAGGCCUCAGGCAUGUAAUUAUCUCUCUCCUCCUGCAGCCUGAUGGAGAUACCUUUCACUGGAAGUCGUUGCCGUGGUGCUUCUGUUACUUCUCAGUGAUGACCUCAGCUACCUUCCUUCUGGUUUUGGUGAGACUGGGGCCCAUGUUGGCAAGUCCUUGAUGCAGAUGAAAAAAAUAUGGCUCAGAGGUCAAGGGACAGAUUCAUAGAGACGGAAGUGGAAUGCGAGAAUUGGAGAGAUGAUAUUCAAUUAAUCAUUUAUUCAGCAAACAUUGAUGGAGAUGGGGACAGACAGGGACAAAGGACCAAAGGGAUUAAACUGAGACACUGAAUGGCCAAUAUAGGGCGGAAAGCUGGGGAAACAGGUGCGGAUGGGAAAGCAGCAAGGACAGAAAAUCAGCUAGCUGAAGCCAGUGCCCCAGCAGCAGGAAUGCAUGCUCCAGCUGAAUAGGACAUAUCACAUGAUCAAGAUGGGCUCCUAUGAUCACCUUUGAAAUGGUUUGCCAGAGAAAGUGGAACCUACAACUGAUCAGGAAAUCUCAACCCAACUACAAUUUGUGAGACAUAACAACGUACAGGAAAUACAGUUUUCAAGGAGUACAGUGGUCAGAGGAAUAUGUUAAAGAACACAGUAGAGUUGCAAUCAGCAACGUCCAGACAAAAUCCAGACUACACAACAAAUGACCUGGUUACCCCAAGGGAAGCCAGAGAGAGAGAGAGAAUGGUAGUUGAAGGGGGAGCCCAUAGAUUAAGAGAUUUCA